UAAACCUCUGGUGAUAGAAGCCAGAAGACCGUCUCCUUUGGGGUGAUGUUUUCCUCCUCUGGGAAGUCCCUCCAGACCAGUGCAUCUUGGUGCCAGGUGCUCACAUUCUCGAAGCCCCGCAGAGCUGCCAUGGGUCCCGCGCACAGUGUUCCAAGGCCAGAACAAUAGGAACCAUAAACUCCAGUCUACGAAAGAGGCAUAUUCCCAUUUCACAGGUGACAAGUCUGAGGACUGUGGAGG